GGAACCGAAGACGGAGGGAGAAGGAAGGAAGGAGCGGGGCAGGGGGAAGAGGAGGAGAGAGACGGACGACAGACGGAGGGGAGCGGGGAGAGAGGGAGGGAGACGGGGACAGAGAGAGAGAGAGAGAGAGAGGGCCCAGCCGCUGGGCAGACCGCGGGGAAGUCGAGGAAGGCGCGUGGUCCCUCACCUGGCGUCAGCGGCGGCCGUCCCCCAGGCCCAUCUGGGCAAUUUAAGGGGCGCCCUGGGGGCGGGACCACUCCCCGCCACCGCCUUAUCUGGUCAGCCCCGGGCUCCCAGAGCUAAAUCGGGCCUCAGCUGUCAGCACCGGGGGGCGCGCGGGACAGCUGUCACCCCACCCUGCACCUGCCGCGUGACUGCGGCCCCCCUUCCCGGAACGAGGCGGGGCGGAGAGGCCCCCGCGGGUCUGCGUGGUGCGCCCCCAACGGGCGGCCUAGGACUCCGGGGAGCCCCUCACCACCGGGAGCUCUGGGACCCGCCUGGCCGGGCGCCCCGGGGCAAGGGACAGCCUGAGCCAGGCCUUGUUCCCGGGAGAAGUGGCGGCCUCGAAGGUGAGGGCUAGUCACACCAGCCUCCUCAGGGCCUUUGCACUGGCUGUUCCUUCAGCCUGGAAUGACUUUCGCCCGCACCUCCCUGCAGCUCCCUCCUUCUCGGAGAGGCCCUCGGUGCCAGAAGAAUCCUAACCAGUGUACUGGUUCCUGCGGCUGCUCGAACAAAGCCAGUGCCUUAAACAACACACAUUUACUCUUUACGCUUGUGGCCGGAAGUCUGGUGAGCCUCCCUGGGCUGGAGUCCUGGGCAGGGCUGUUCCCCCCGGGGCCCGGGAAGAAUCCGUUUCCUUGCCGGUUCCGGCCCCUAGAGGUGGCUCCGCUUCCCAGCCGUGGCCCCUUCUGGUCUUCGAGGCUGCCGGCCGCGUGGCAUCUCUGACCUGCUGCCUUCUUUCUGAAUUUCCUGCCUCCUCCUCCACCUGUAAGGACCCUCACAAUUGCCUCGGGCACCAGGGUAACUUCCCUGCGUUCAGGUCAGUGGAUUAGCGACCUUUGCAGCCCUUUGUCACCUACCGGAGCAUAUUGGCAAUUCCGGGGGUCAUCUUUUGGAGCAAUUGAUGGGGGAGGAUUGAGAAUCAAGAAACUUGUUUUCUCCUCAGCACUUAUCCCAUCGAUCAUUCUAGAAAUGUUUAUUUGUUUUGAGAGAGAGUGAGCAAGCUGGGGAGGGGCAGGGAGAGGGAAGGGAGAGAAUCCCAAGCAGGCUCCACGCUGAGUGUGGCAGCUGACGCAGGGCUCGAUCCCAUGACCAUGAGAUCAGGGCCUGGGCCGAAAAUCAAGAGUCGGAGGCUCAACUGACUGAGCCACCCAGGCGCCCCACUGAACAUUCUACGUUGUUCCCGGUCUCUCCCACCAGCUCACAAGGAUGGGUCUUUGUGCUGUUUUCUGCUGUGCUACAGACGAGGAAACUGAGGCCCAGGGAGGUGGGCAACUCCUACGAGCUGGCGAAGCCGGGAAGUGGUGGCGAGUCGGCGCCUGGGCUCCGGGCUCUCGGCAGCGCCCGCCUGGCUAACGGCCUCUCUGGUAAACGGGAGUAACCGGAGGCGAGGGGCCCCCCAGGCGGAUGCGGGCCAGGCCGGGAGCAAAUCAGCAGAUUUAUUGAGGCAGCGGCGGCAUUGGGGAGCAGGGGGUGCGGAAAAGGGGCUGGGCCUCCGCGGGGUCCUUCCCUGGCGUUCAGGAGCCAGACGUGGAUGCACGGGGACCGCACGGACGGUGGCCUGGUCCUCUCCUCCGCGGGGUCAGUCUGUCCGCAGCCAGCAGCCCUUUUCCUCCACCUCCUUGGUCACCACCAGCAGCACCUCGCACAGGCCCUGAGCCAGUGCCCCCGCCAGGAAGGCCCUGGGCAGAGAAGCGAGGAGACUGAGGCCCGGGGGCCCGCGCGCUGCCUCCUGGGGUGGGGGAGUCGGUCGCCGAGCCCCAGCCCUGGUCGCCUUCCCCUCACCUGACGCCGUCCUCGUCCCCCAGGGCCUCAGGCGCCCGCAGCUUGGAGUCCAGGUUGUAGUAGACGCCGUCCACCUGGCGGAGGGCCACCCAGUGCCGCCGGCGGAGCGGCAGGGACAGCAGCCCCAGAGACAUGGGUGAGGGCAGGUUCAGGAUCAGUCCCAGCACUUGGGGCAGGGCCAGCUGGGACAGGGGCCUGUGCGGGAGGGGUGGGGACGCCACCGUCUGGGUCCAGUGCUCAGCGAGCACCUGCCGGCCCAACGUGACUGAGCUCACGGGACCCAGGCUGGCGCGGCAGCAGUGGCCCCCCCGAGCCUGCCCAAGGACUCUCCUCGGCGCCCCCUUCGUCUCCUCCCACUCGCCCACCACCCAGGCACCCAAACUCCCAGCCGUCUGACAACCACCCCCGCACCCAGCUGCCCGUGCACUGUCCACCCGAACAUCAUCCACCUAAUGACGCAACCGACCGGCCAGCCACCAACUCGGCUUACUCACCAUCCUCCCGAGUCCGCAUCCACUCGGAACCCGUCCAUCCGUCCAUCCAUCCAAUUAACUACUCAACCACCUGUUUGCUAUCCUUUAUUCGCUCAGCCACUCCUCUGCCCAUCCACACCCCCCUCCCCCACCAACCACCUACUCAACACGUCCAACUGCCCUUUUACCACCCACUCGGUCACCGGAUGACCAUCUCCCAACCCGUCGGCCUGCCCUCCAUCCAGCACCCACCCGUGCCGACCUUCCCCCCGUCUGCCCCUUCUUUCUUCCCUCCUGCCCACUGGUUCCCCUCCUGCUGUCCCACCGCACCCAUGCGCCAGGCUCAGCACACAUGAUGAAGCGCUUGGGGUCCCACCUCCUUCGGUCCCACCACACGGUGGCCAGGCCCAGCCCCUGCAGGGCGGCCAUGAUCACGUUGACGUCAUAGUUGCCGGUGCCCAGGAGGCUGCGAUGGGGAUUCAGCCGGGAGUCUGGGGCCAACCUGGGCAGAGGGAGGGUCAGAGCCUGAGACGGGGCCCCCGCAAAGGUCUCAUCCUCCCCACAACGCGAGAGAGUCCCGGGGCCCUUGAGUCACCCAGCCUUUGGACUCUUCCCUUUCCGCAGCCGCGUGGCUCAUCAGCCCCAAGCCUGACUCCUCCUGUCCCCGACUCUCUCUGCCCCGUCCCGUAACCACAUUUCCCCCCCCCGCUCAGGUCUCGUCCUCCUCCACCUGGACCCUCAUCCAGCCUCCAGCCUCCCCUCCGAUCCCAGGGGCUCUUUCCACACCUGACACUGACCCCACCGCUCCCCUGUUCCCUGCCCUCCCUGGUGCCUUGUCACCCCAGGAUAAAGUCCUAGUCCCUCAGCUGGCCUCCUAGCCUCAGUCCCGCCCCACCCCCUCCCGGCCACCUGUCCCCAACCACAUCUCCUGUGCUCCCCUCUCAGUCUUUCCUCCUGCUGUCCCCCAGCUCAGGGGGCCCACCCCGCCACCACUUGGCUCUCUGGGUCCUGCCUUCUCCAAACAGUGGCACCUUUGUUCUUUCUCUGGGCCCUUGGUGGGCAGGGCAGGGGGAGGGGCCGGAGAGGAAAAGUCUGUGUAUUAUUUUCCUGUGCAUCUGUUUCCCUGGCCUCCCUCAGGGCAGGGCUCACACUGGACUCAUCUCUGGGUCUCCAGCAUGGCCUUGGUGUGAAAGAGUUGAUGGACCCCUGUCGUGAAUGACAGAGAUGAAUAAAUUCUGCGAUAUUCAGUUUGA